rnacentral:rRNA from 1 species
AUUGAACGCUGGCGGCAGGCCUAACACAUGCAAGUCGAGCGGCAGCGGGAAAGUAGCUUGCUACUUUUGCCGGCGAGUGGCGGACGGGUGAGUAAUGCCUGGGAAAUUGCCCAGACGAGGGGGAUAACAGUUGGAAACGACUGCUAAUACCGCAUACGCCCUACGGGGGAAAGCAGGGGACCUUCGGGCCUUGCGCGAUUGGAUAUGCCCAGGUGGGAUUAGCUAGUUGGUGAGGUAAUGGCUAACCAAGGCGACGAUCCCUAGCUGGUCUGAGAGGAUGAUCAGCCACACUGGAACUGAGACACGGUCCAGACUCCUACGGGAGGCAGCAGUGGGGAAUAUUGCACAAUGGGGGAAACCCUGAUGCAGCCAUGCCGCGUGUGUGAAGAAGGCCUUCGGGUUGUAAAGCACUUUCAGCGAGGAGGAAAGGUUGGCGCCUAAUACGUGUCAACUGUGACGUUACUCGCAGAAGAAGCACCGGCUAACUCCGUGCCAGCCGCCGCCGUAA